GUCCCGUAACGAGCGCAACCCUUGUCCUUAGUUACCAGCACGUUAUGGUGGGCACUCUAAGGAGACUGCCGGUGACAAACCGGAGGAAGUGGGGAUGACGUCAAGUCCUCAUGGCCUUUAUGACCAGGGCUACACACGUACUACAAUGGCCGAUACAAAGGGCAGCGACACUGCGAGGUGAAGCCAAUCCCGUAAAAAUCGGUCUCAGUCCGGAUUGGAGUCUGCAACUCGACUCCAUGAAGUUGGAAUCGCUAGUAAUCGUGGAUCAGCAUGCCACGGUGAAUACGUUCCCGGGCCUU
rnacentral:rRNA from 1 species